UAUAUGUAUAUCUUAACCACACACACACACACACAUAUAUAUUAUAUAUAUAUAUAUAUAUACUGAUUAUUUUUUUUAACAUUGCUAAUGUUAUUGGUGUCUUCACUGGAUAAUACUCGACUGCUGUGGACACAAGCGGGCUACUUGGGGCAUAAGAUACAAGCUAAGACUGGACUUGAGUAGAAGCGCUGGGUGUAAACUUCUUAACUCUAACUGACUUGUGUGGCCUCCGCUGUUUCUCUGUAGAGUGUGCUGUACCACAAACCACCUUCUCCUUGCCUGGGACAGGGAGGAGAGGUGAUGGAGAGGAUGGGCAGGGAGUUCCAAAGAGUGGCAUCCUAGGGUGCGAUGGGUCAAAGGCCAAGGAAAUGGCCGUCUCCGUGAUCAAGGAUUCCUCCUCCCCUCUCUUCCCCCAGCCUUCGCCCUUACUCGUCUCAUAACCUGCCUGCCUUGCUGGGACAUGGGAUGUCAGUGUACGUUUUGUGUUGAAUUUAUUCGCUGUAGAACCUUUGCCAGAGAGACAUGCUGGCUUCUCUUAAGGAUGGUGGGCAGCUGACGCGCACUGACUUUCUGUUCAAGGAAUAAUCACAGGAGUCUAGAUUUCCCGCCCUUGGUGGCUGCAGAAGGACACAAGGUCUACAGUGUGCUGAAGCAAGAACGGGGACCGGUGCAUAGCCACACAGUUGUUCAGCACUGUCUGCUUUCUUCAUGCACAGAGCUGCCACUCAAGAGCAUCCAAGAUGCUUAUGGAACAUUUCUGGAAAGGGAUAUUAAUCAAAAGUAUAUACACAGUAGUGGGUGUGUGUGUAUGUAUGUGAAUGUAUGAAUUUGUGUGUAUGUAUAUAUGUAUGUAUGUGUUUUUAUCUCUUUUUUAUAUAUAUAUAUUUAUUUUUAUACAUAUAUAUAUAUAAAAAAUAAUAUAUAUGUAUGCCAAGAUUGAAGGGGGGAAAAAAAGAAAGCAACUUUUGCUGCCUUCAGUUUGCGUGCCCAGUGUGAAUGACCCUUAAGAACGUCAAGAUUUUUUUUAAUGACGUACUGUAAAUAUCAGGCUCCUUUUCCAUGUCUUGGGCUGGGGAAUCAAAUGUGAAGGCAGCUGGAGUCCCUUAGCUGUGUCCUGAGGUUCUUGGCUAUGUGUGUAUCUGCAGUGUAGGCUGUGGUGUACGUGAAACCCACCUUACACACGCCCGCACACACACGCGCCCCUGAAAGUAUGUUUGUACGUCUAUGUGGAAAUAUAUAAUCUAGUUCUGUGAUUAAAAUUAUUAUUAAUAAUAAUAAUAAUCAAAAAGGUACUCAGUCUGUGUCAGAAUGCUGACAAACAUCAUCCGCAAUUGAAUUUUCAACGCCUGACAAUGUACAACACAGAAAGCUUCCAAAAAGACAAGACAGUCUAAAAACAGACUCACAACAAGUGACUACUAACCACUAGGAUCUCCCCAUCCAACUGAUGGCUUUCAGAAGGAGAGAAAACACACGGGUGGGUGCUUGCAUCUGCAAUGUAGAAUACUCAUGCUGCAUCGUGUGCAAGACAGAGGCUUCCGAUCGGGGGAGGGAAGAGAAAGUGUUUUAUAUACUUAUUUAAUAUCCCUUUUUAAAUUAGAAAUUAAACAGAUAAUUUAAUUAAAGAGUAGGGAUUUUUCAGUAUUCUUUGUUAAUAUUUAAUUUCAACUAUUUAUAAGCCGUACUUUUUUUUUUUUUUUUUUUUUUUUUUUUUUUUUUUUGUACUGGUUGUGUAUAAAUUUAACCUUCCUGUUGUCCCAUCCCGUCUCUCCCCAAUUGUUGGCAGAGUCAGUAGCAUGUUAUGGGCAGUUAUUUAAUUAAUUUCUCUAACACCUACCCCUACACAUUCCUAUUGAGACAACGGUUAGAUAUACAUCUACAUACUAUAUAUAUAUAUAUAUAUUUGGCUAUGUGUUUGUAUAUAUAUAUAUGUUUAUGUAUAUGUGUGAUUCGGAUUAAAUAGACACUACGAUUUUUUUAUAUAUGUAAAAAGAAGAAACAGGAAAAAAUAGAAAGUUCUACAUCUUGAAUCUCUCUCCUUUUUAAUUUUAAUAUUUGUUAUCGUUUUAUUUAUUGGUGCUACUGUUUAUCUGUAAUAAUUGCGGGGAAAAAAGAUAUUAACACUACAUAUUGUGUCUAGUGAAUUUUUUCAAGAUAUUCCUUAGUACAUAUUUAUUUUUAAACAAAGAAAUUACAGAUAUAUCUUAAAACAACGACAACAACGACAAACAAACUUUUUUUUGUAUUAAAGAAUUUAAUUCUGACAUUGAUUUCCUUUGCCUUCUCCUUCUGCCUUGCAUCCUGGUUUUCUUCCAUUGUGUGACAUUUUCUCCAGCAUUGCCUCUGGAGGCUACAGGGCAUCAGCAACCUACCAAUUGGACUCUCAGAUUUGGGCCCAGAGCCUCCAAAAGCAUCUAGGUACCUAAAACCCAUUGAAAUGAAUGGGAGGUAGGCACCAGAAUCCUUGCAUGGAGCUCAGCCCAAGUUCCCUGCUUGGUGAGAAGAGGGUGGUGUGAUGGGCAGGACCAAGGGGGCAGGACUCCUGGGUUCCUUCCCAUCCUGAUGCUGAGCAGUGUGGUGAUGGUCCCAGCCCUGCUUCUUUCUUGUCAGGAGCCAAGUCCCAUGAGCUGGGUAGUGUACAGGCAUGAGUAGAUGCAAUCCUGGUGGAAUUUACAAUCCAAGGUGAAAGUAAUGCUGUGAGCCUGCCCUUUCUGGUAAUGAACUUGGUGUGUAUGUAACUCAUUGUCAGGGAUGGCUCAGCCAGACCUUGCCAUUCUGGAUAACGUUUAACAAAAAACUGUUUAGUUCUGACAGUGCUUAUGACUUCAUGAGGGAUCUUGAUACCAUUGCAUCUUUAUGUCCUUUGGGGUCUAGGAGGAAAAACUUUGGCAGUGGUGUAAUUUCCUCGUCAUCCAUGGAGAUGAAUGUGUCAUGCAUCAGUCAUCUGUCCACGCUGGAAAGGAGCAUGCAGGAUGUUUCCUGGACGUCUGGGAGGCGUCUCACUUAGGGUAAUACCACUAAAUUCAUGGCUGCAUCAUUCCUGCUCUUGCAAAAGUAAAGAAUCUGGCUUCUAUUUAGCAUGGACUCGGGUAGCUCAACAGGUGGACCUGCAGUGACUCCCUCAGAGGAGUGUGGAGCAAAGGAAAGAGGAUAAGUACCUGAGGACACUUUGGUUCACUGUGUUCAGUAACGUCUUGUGGACUGUAGCAGUGAGGUGAGAAUGUGAGCCAUCUGGAUGUGUUUCUGCAUGAAGAACCCAAGAAGUUGCUUCCCUUGUAUAUUCAUCACUGGCUUUUUUGUGUGUGGAUCUGUGGGCUCUUUUGCUUGUGGCUGUGCAAGGUGAUGAAGACAGCAAGCCUAUCCUCAGGAGACCUGCACCGCCUGUUUGUGACCUGGGAAAUGUUUACAAGUCAUCAAAUUGGAAAAAUUGAAACCAGCAGCUUCAACUUGCCCAUUCCCCCUCCAAGUCCCCUUCCUUAUGUUGGGCAGCUUGCUGGAAGGUUAAAGUCCUCUUUUUUGCACUCCAAGGACCUCACAUCUGGGAGAAGCGGCCUGAAGACUCCUGAGAAGAUUAUGUUUGCUGAAAGGUGUUAUUUCUCCUGGGGAUAAGAAGCUAACUCCUACUUUGAUUUAUCUCACUACUGGUAGUGUGGUGAAUGGGGGUCAACGGCACAGGAUAUGAUUGUUUCCAGUCUUCAUAGGCAUAAUAAAUUAUGAGUCAGAGGA